CAGAGUAGAGAAAUAUGCGUUGUUCUGAUACUGCUUAUCUGUCAUUUGGCAAACGAGCGGUAUAACUACAGUGCCGUGUGAACGGGGAGUUGUCACACGGACGAAUGACUCAAAUUAGUCGGCGGUAUGUUUCUCGCAUCCCGCUGU
rnacentral:ncRNA from 1 species